rnacentral:rRNA from 1 species
UUAUUGGAGAGUUUGAUCCUGGCUCAGGACGAACGCUGGCGGCGUGCCUAAUACAUGCAAGUCGAGCGGACUUGAUGGAGUUCAU